UGUGGUCAAGUUAAUAAGGGCGCACGGUGGAUGCCUUGGCACUAGGAGCCGAUGAAGGACGUAGGAGGCUGCGAUAAGCCUCGGGGAGCUGUCAACCGAGCUGUGAUCCGAGGAUUUCCGAAUGGGGAAACCCGGCAGGAGUCAUGUCCUGUCACCCAUACCUGAACACAUAGGGUAUGUGGAGGGAACGUGGGGAAGUGAAACAUCUCAGUACCCACAGGAAGAGAAAGCAACCGCGAUUCCGAGAGUAGUGGCGAGCGAAAUCGGAAGAGGCCAAACCAGGUACGCGUGAUAGCCGGCAGGCGUUGCGUAUCUGGGGUUGUGGGGCCGUUCUGAUGGUUCUGCCGAAUCAUCGAGGAGUAAGAAAAUCAUGUGUUAGUCGAAGGACUUGGGAAGGUCCGGCGUAGAGGGUGAUACCCCCGUAGACGAAAACAUGUGAUCUCCUGAGCGUUACCCCAAGUAGCAGCGAGCACGUGAAAUUCGCUGUGAAUCUGGCGGGACCACCCGCUAAGCCUAAAUACUACCUAGUGACCGAUAGCGGACAAGUACCGUGAGGGAAAGGUGAAAAGUACCCCGGGAGGGGAGUGAAAUAGUACCUGAAACCGCGCGCCUACAAGCCGUUGGAGCGUCGCCAUGUCGUUGGACAUGGUCGUGACAGCGUGCCUUUUGAAGAAUGAGCCUGCGAGUUAGCGUUAUGUGGCGAGGUUAACCCGUGUGGGGUAGCCGUAGCGAAAGCGAGUCUGAAUAGGGCGUUUGAGUCGCAUGAUCUAGACCCGAAGCGAAGUGAUCUACCCAUGGCCAGGUUGAAGCGCAGGUAAGACUGCGUGGAGGACCGAACCCACUUCAGUUGAAAAUGGAGGGGAUGAGCUGUGGGUAGGGGUGAAAGGCCAAUCAAACUUCGUGAUAGCUGGUUCUCCCCGAAAUGCAUAUAGGUGCAGCGUCGCGUGUUUCUUACCGGAGGUAGAGCUACUGGAUGGUCUAGGGGGCCUACAAGCUUACCGAAAUCAGCCAAACUCCGAAUGCCGGUAAGUGAGAGCGCGGCAGUGAGACUGUGGGCGAUAAGGUUCAUGGUCGAGAGGGAAACAACCCAGAACACCAGCUAAGGCCCCUAAGCGUGUGCUAAGUGGGAAAGGAUGUGGAGUCGCAUAGACAACCAGGAGGUUGGCUUAGAAGCAGCCACCCUUUAAAGAGUGCGUAAUAGCUCACUGGUCAAGUGAUUCUGCGCCGACAAUGUAGCGGGGCUCAAGCACACCGCCGAAGCUGUGUCAUUCAUGCAAUAGCCUGUCGGUUACCUACGGGUGGCCGGCCAGGUGUGUGGAUGGGUAGGGGAGCGUCGUGUGCCGGAGGAAGCGGCGGGGGAACCCAGCCGUGGACGGCACACGAGUGAGAAUGCAGGCAUGAGUAGCGAAAGAAGAGUGAGAAACUCUUCCGCCGAAUGACCAAGGGUUCCUGGGCCAGGCUAAUCCGCCCAGGGUAAGUCGGGACCUAAGGCGAGGCCGACAGGCGUAGUCGAUGGACAACGGGUUGAUAUUCCCGUACCCGCAAAAGAGCGCCAAUACCGAGUCCGGUAAUGCUAAGCGCCUGAUGCUGUGAUGACCUUCGGGUCGGAUCGGUUGAACGCGUGACCCGAACCGGUAGUAGGUAAGCGAUGGGAUGACGCAGGAAGGUAGUCGUACCGGUCAGUGGUAAUACCGGGGCAAGGACGUAGGGCGUGACAUAGGUAAAUCCGUGUCACAUGUGCCUGAGAUCUGACGCAUAGCCGAUUGGGGCGAAUUCGAUGAUCCUAUGCUGCCAAGAAAACUCUCUAGCGAGCUCUUCGCGGCCCGUACCCCAAACCGACACAGGUGGUCAGGUAGAGAAUACUAAGGCGAUCGAGUGAACCAUGGUUAAGGAACUCGGCAAAAUACCCCCGUAACUUCGGGAGAAGGGGGGCCAAAGCACGUGACGGCACACGCUGCCGAAAGCGUGAGUUGGCCGCAGAGACUAGCGAGAAGCGACUGUUUACUAAAAACACAGGUCCGUGCGAAGUCGCAAGACGAUGUAUACGGACUGACGCCUGCCCGGUGCUGGAAGGUUAAGAGGACGGGUCAGCCCCUUUUGGGGGCGAAGCUCAGAAUUUAAGCCCCAGUAAACGGCGGUGGUAACUAUAACCAUCCUAAGGUAGCGAAAUUCCUUGUCGGGUAAGUUCCGACCUGCACGAAUGGCGUAACGACUUCUCGACUGUCUCAACCAUGGACUCGGCGAAAUUGCACUACGAGUAAAGAUGCUCGUUACGCGCGGCAGGACGGAAAGACCCCGGGACCUUUACUAUAGUUUGAUAUUGGUGUUCGGUUCGGAUUGUGUAGGAUAGGUGGGAGACUGUGAAGCUCACACGCCAGUGUGGGUGGAGUCAACGUUGAAAUACCACUCUGUUCGAAUUGGAUGUCUAACCUCGGUCCGUAAUCCGGAUCAGGGACAGUGUCUGAUGGGUAGUUUGACUGGGGCGGUCGCCUCCCAAAAAGUAACGGAGGCGCCCAAAGGUUCCCUCAGCCUGGUUGGCAAUCAGGUGUUGAGUGCAAGUGCACAAGGGAGCUUGACUGUGAGACAGACAUGUCGAGCAGGAGCGAAAGCUGGGACUAGUGAUCCGGCACCGGCUAGUGGAAGCGGUGUCGCUCAACGGAUAAAAGGUACCCCGGGGAUAACAGGCUGAUCUUCCCCAAGAGUCCAUAUCGACGGGAUGGUUUGGCACCUCGAUGUCGGCUCGUCGCAUCCUGGGGCUGGAGUCGGUCCCAAGGGUUGGGCUGUUCGCCCAUUAAAGCGGCACGCGAGCUGGGUUUAGAACGUCGUGAGACAGUUCGGUCCCUAUCCGCCGCGCGCGCAGGAGAUUUGAGAAGGGCUGUCCUUAGUACGAGAGGACCGGGACGGACGAACCUCUGGUGUGCCAGUUGUUCCACCAGGAGCACUGCUGGUUAGCUACGUUCGGAAGGGAUAACCGCUGAAAGCAUCUAAGCGGGAAGCCUGCUUCAAGAUUAGAUCUCCCAUCCUUAAUGGAGUAAGGCCCCCGGCUAGACCACCGGGUUGAUAGGCCAGAAGUGGAAGCACGGCAACGUGUGCAGCUGACUGGUACUAAUAGGCCGAGGACUUCACC
rnacentral:rRNA from 1 species